UCAAGAAAGGAGGUAGAAGGGUGUGCGGCGGACGUUGAGACUCGCCAACAAGAAAUUAAAAUCUGAUAUUGAAAAUGACUUUUAUUUUUCCUGUUUUUUCCUUUUCGUUUGGGAGACACUUUUCAAGAAAUAAUUUUUUUGCCCCAGACUCCACCACUUAUUGUGCGACCGAUCUUUUGAUUUGCAUUAUGGCAGGUCUGCUCCUCCUUAAAACUUUGAUUCACCUCUUCUUUGGUCCGAACCCCUCAGUCAUAUAAAAAUUCUUGGGCUACAUUCCUCAGUUCAAAAAGUUGCCAUAGUUUCGUCCUUUGAAACGUUUAUGAACCUGCAAAAGAACAAAUAAUGCCACCACCAUUCGAUUAAUUCCUCCUUCAAGAAAUGUGUAAACAUGAGUACUUUUGAUGAUUUCCCCUCGAUGUUAUGAAAACUUCGACUUUGAUCUGUGAUCUGAUCAAAUUUCAUUGACUUCCAAUGCUAAAAAGGCCCUUGGUAUUCAGGGAUUUUCAAUAAAUCAGGGGGAUUGCCAUCUGAUGAACUCAAAGAGAUAAAUAAGAUCAUGAAACUAAUGAAAGAAUAUUCUAUUUACACACAGAUGAUGAAAACUUCUGUAACAUGAAAACAAACAUUUAUUUUUUUGAAAGAAAAUUAAUUUUAAAGAAAUGAAUCUAUAAAUUCGACAAUUUACGCUUGAAAAACCAAAGUAUUCCGACUUCAAACAAAAUGCCACGCUUGACCCUUUAGAUAUCAUCCACCCUGAGUUCAAUGUCGGCACCAGAAGAACCACAAUGCGAGGAGGAAUCCCAAAUGAAUCGAAUCACCAACUUUCUAAUUUCAACUUCACUUUUCCUCACGAAACUCUACCUUAGCGCCCUUUCAAGUUUUCACUAAGGCUACUCCCCCUUUUUGCUCUUUUUUUUCACUUCAAAGUUGCCCUUUUCGGAUUUUCACCUGAUGAACAAAUCUUGCCAAUAGCCUUUAUCAACUCAAAAAAAUGUAUUUCAAGAAAUAAUGGCAUCAGUGCGACAACCCCUUCCCUUACAACAUGAGUGAAGGCGUAUUGACAUCAUUUGCCAUGUGACUUAGAAAAUUUCCUUAAAAGAGGUGAUGCCAAGAAUGGAAGUCAGGACUUUUUGGCUUUUGUAAUGGGGUCGGGUGAGGUGCUAGGAAAGGUUAAGGCUUGAAGGCAGACUUGAAAAAGUGGUUUAAAUGAUCUGAGAUCGCAUUUUCAUGCUAACCCUAUUUUAGUGUUAAAUCAAAAUUUGCCCCAGUUUAUUCUCAACUGAGGUUCUCUUUUCUUUUAUUUUCUUUUCUUUCUUUUUUCUUUUUUUCUCUUUUUCUUUUUUUCUUUUUUUUUUCAUCUUUCAAAAUUUUGAAAAUUUGCCCCAGUUUAUUUUUAAUUGAGGCUUUCUUUUGUUCAUUUCCUUUUCUUUCGACUUUCCUAAAAAAAAUUGAGUUUACCCCAGUGUGGGGUUUUCUCUCUUUUCUUUUCUUUCAAAAACUAAAUUUGCCCCAGUGUGGGGUUUGCGAUUCUCAGAGGUUGCCAAACGAAAUGAUCUAUUCUGAAGGCUCAAAAGGAAUGACUAAGGAUAAAAUGUCUCAAUGGGAAAGGAAGAAGGCCUGACUUUCAUUCCAUUCUUUGCAUUAACCCUUGAAAGGAAACUUUCAUUUAUCAGAUGAAGAAUUUCUUACACACAUAUUCGAAUUGAUCGGUUGAGGAAAAAUUUGUCCACUCCACUUCUGCGAGAACUAGUACUCUGC
rnacentral:lncRNA from 1 species